GAUGAACGCUGGCGGCGUGCCUAAUACAUGCCAGUCGAGCGAACAGACGAGGAGCUUGCUCCUCUGACGUUAGCGGCGGACGGGUGAGUAACACGUGGAUAACCUACUUAUAAGACUGGGAUAACUUCGGGAAACCGGAGCUAAUACCGGAUAAUAUAUUGAACCGCAUGGUUCAAUAGUGAAAGACGGUUUUGCUGUCACUUAUAGAUGGAUCCGCGCCGCAUUAGCUAGUUGGUAAGGUAACGGCUUACCAAGGCGACGAUGCGUAGCCGACCUGAGAGGCUGAUCGGCCACACUGGAGCUGAGACACGGUCCAGACUCCUACGGGAGGCAGCAGUAGGGAAUCUUCCGCAAUGGGCGAAAGCCUGACGGAGCGACGCCGCGUGAGUGAUGGAGGUCUUCGGAUCGUAAAACUCUGUUAUUAGGGAAGAACAAAUGUGUAAGUAACUAUGCACGUCUUGACGGUACCUAAUCAGAAAGCCACGGCUAACUACGUG
rnacentral:rRNA from 1 species